AGAGUUUGAUCCUGGCUCAGAACGAACGCUGGCGGCAGGCCUAAAACAUGCAAGUCGAACGCUCUAGCAAUAGAGAGUGGCGCACGGGUGAGUAACACGUGGGAAUAUGCCUUUUGGUACGGAAUAACUUUUGGAAACGAAAGCUAAUACCGUAUGGUCCCUUCGGGGUAAAGAUUUAUCGCCAAAAGAGUAGCCCGCGCUGGAUUAGCUAGUUGGUGAGGUAAUGGCUCACCAAGGCGACGAUCCAUAGCUGGUCUGAGAGGACGAUCAGCCACACUGGGACUGAGACACGGCCCAGACUCCUACGGGAGGCAGCAGUUAGGAAUCUUGGACAAUGGGCGCAAGCCUGAUCCAGCCAUGCCGCGUGAGUGAUGAAGGCCUUCGGGUUGUAAAGCUCUUUAGUCCACGAAUAUAAUGACUGUAGUGGAAGAAUAAGCCCCGGCUAACUUCGUGCCAGCAGCCGCGGUAAUACGAAGGGGGCGAGCGUUGUUCGGAAUCACUGGGCGUAAAGAGUGCGUAGGCGGUUAUGAAAGUUAGGAGUGAAAGCCCAGGGCUCAACCUUGGAAUUGCUCUUAAUACUACAUAACUCGAAUUCGGGAGAGGAUAGCGGAAUUGUCAGUGUAGCAGUGAAAUGCGUAGAUAUUGACAGGAACACCAGUGGCGUAAGCGGCUAUCUGGACCGACAUUGACGCUGAGGCACGAAAGCGUGGGGAUCAAACAGGAUUAGAUACCCUAGUAGUCC
rnacentral:rRNA from 1 species